AAUCAACGCUGGCGGCGUGCCUCAGACAUGCAAGUCGAACGCGAAAGGCCCCUUCGGGGGCCGAGUAGAGUGGCGUCCGGGUGAGUAACACGUGGGUAAUCUACCUUCGGGUGGGGAAGUAACGACCGGAAACGGUCGCUAAUACCGCAUAAUGCAGCGGCACCUAAUGGUGACAGUUGUUAAAGCGGGGGAGUCGCAAGACCUCGCGCCUGAAGAGGAGCCCGCGGCGGAUUAGCUAGUUGGCAGGGUAACGGCCUACCAAGGCGACGAUCCGUAGCCGGCCUGAGAGGGCGGGUCGGGCCACACUGGCACUGACAUACGGGCCAGACUCCUACGGGAGGCAGCAGUCGGGAAGUUUU
rnacentral:rRNA from 1 species